UGAGAAUUUGGGCGUAUUUGACUUAUUCUCUCUUUGGGAGAGUGAGUUGGCUGCUGUUUGAGAUUUGGGAUAAAAGACACAGGUGCAAGCAACUAUACCCAAUGGUGUUAUGCGUAUUUACUAAAGCCGCAAGCUAACAAUUGUUCUCUCUCUCUCCUGCUCUUUAGGCUGACAAGGAUUUAUUGGAGCAAAUGGAAAAAAGCAUCACAGAAAAAAAUGACAAAAUAAAGACAGUUGAAGAACUCCUUGAAACUGGGCUCAUAGAAAUGGCAAAUAAGGAAGAUCAACUGAAGGCACUGAGAACAGAGAACACGUCCUUGAAAAAUGAAAUUGAAGCUCUUCGGAGGGUGCAGACAGAACAGGUAUGUUGUGAUAUUUUUUAAAAGAAAGGCCACCAGAUUGGUCAUUAUAAUUAUGCCAGUUGGA
rnacentral:lncRNA from 11 species